AGCGAACGCUGGCGGCAGGCCUAACACAUGCAAGUCGAACGAACUCUUCGGAGUUAGUGGCGGACGGGUGAGUAACACGUGGGAACGUGCCUUUAGGUUCGGAAUAACUCAGGGAAACUUGCGCUAAUACCGAAUGUGCCCUUCGGGGGAAAGAUUUAUCGCCUUUAGAGCGGCCCGCGUCUGAUUAGCUAGUUGGUGAGGUAAAGGCUCACCAAGGCGACGAUCAGUAGCUGGCCUGAGAGGAUGAUCAGCCACAUUGGGACUGAGACACGGCCCAAACUCCUACGGGAGGCAGCAGUGGGGAAUCUUGCGCAAUGGGCGAAAGCCUGACGCAGCCAUGCCGCGUGAAUGAUGAAGGUCUUAGGAUUGUAAAAUUCUUUCACCGGGGACGAUAAUGACGGUACCCGGAGAAGAAGCCCCGGUUAACUUCGUG
rnacentral:rRNA from 1 species